AGCUAGAGAGACAGACAGCAACACAGAGCUAGAGACAGACAGCAACACAGAGCUAGAGAGACAGACAGCAAUACAGAGCUAGAGAGAGAGACAGCAACACAGAGCUGGAGAGACAGACAGCAACACAGAGCUAGAGAGACAGACAGCAAUACAGAGCUGGAGAGACAGACAGCAAUACAGUGCUGGAGACAGAGACAUGCAGUAAUACAGAGCUGUAGAGAGAGACAGCAAUACAGAGCUGUAGAGAGAGACAGUAAUACAGAGCUAGAGAGACAGACAGCAAUACAGAGCUAGAGAGACAGACAGCAAUACAGAGCUAGAGAGACAGCAAUACAGAGCUGGAGAGAGAGACAGACAGUAAUACAGAGAUGGAGACAGAGACAGG